GGAACAUCAUCUGCUGCUAGACUUUAUUCACCAUAACAAACUGAAAGACAAUCUGCAGCAGCUGAGAUUCUAGGAGGUUCAACACCAAAACCUGAAGCUUCAAACUGAGCCGUCAACUGAACCAAGACGCCUUUCAAACAACUACAGUAGUUAACCUGCUCUGUUGGUAGAUGUUAUGGUGUCUCCUCAAUCUGUACAGACUGACCUUGGUCGUAUUUGAAUACACAGCUUUAUGGUGUUUUCUUUUGUUAAUUGAUUAUAGUAAAUAUUUGAACAUCCAUGUAAGUUUGAAGACAUUUCAUUGUUAACUUUAGGUAGCUGUGAAUCCACCCAUGUUAAUCUGAACCUAUUUUGUUAAAGAUUCAACAGAUUUGUUGCAAUCUUAAAUAUUUAAUCUGUCCUUUGUGUGCAGUGAAAUGAACAUUAAAGUUAAUUCAGGAAACACUUUUAUCAUCUUCUUUCUACAGUAUAAAUUGAAUGAUGCCUCUAUUAAAAUCAUAUAUUUGUGACAUCAAACUUUGUUUCUGUCAUAAAGCAGUGGUCAAACUAUGGCUAAAUGUUUGUAAUUUACUUUCAACAAAUGGAAACCAAAAUGGUUUUAAAGUAAA